UCGCCAUAUUCCCUUCCAUAUCGGCUAACUCUGAUGAGUGUAAGGUUAUGUAAUUGGAUUGUUCCUUGUGCAAAACCGAUUGGUUUGUUGGUCAUGAUAUGGAUAGUAAAGCUGUGUUUGAGCAAAUGUAUCGCCUUGGCAAAAUAAAAAAAAUUCUGAUUACUAUCGAGUGAAAGGUGUGCGUCCUGUGACAAGGCCCCAUGUUAUUCAAGAUAAUGUUGACGCAUGCGCAGUAGUAAUGAAAAAGAAGUUGAAAUCUUACUAUGCCCAAGCAACAGAAUAUACCACACGUUGCCAAACAGAAUUCGCCAAACAAAUCCAACAACUUGAGAGUAUAGCUUCAAAAAUCCCUGGUCUUGUGAUGAACUACCAUUUUAAGGAUCAUGCCAAUUCUAUAGACAUCUUGUUGAAAAACAAACGGAAGGUUCUUGGAGCAAAACUGGAAGAGUUUCAAGAAAAACAGGUAGGAAUGGUGUAAUUAAAAAAAAAUAACCAAAUAGAACAUCCUGAUGCAGCAGAAUAGAAGUUCUUACAUUCCAGCCAUGACCAUCCUGUUCAGCGCAUGCAUGGCUGUGAUUGGUGCACAUGGGCGCUGAUAGAUGCAGUUGUGGUUGUGCAGUUAAGAAGCUUGCUUCAUUACCAACAGUUAUCAGAUUCAAUCCUACUCUAUGGCACCUUCAGCAAGUAUCUUCUUCUAUAGCUUUGUGCUGAGCAAUGCUUUGUGAGUGGAAUUUGAUCAAUGGAAAUUGUAUGUUUGUGCAUGUAUAUUUAUAGAAUAUUGUCACUAUAAAAAAAACUAUCAUUUAGCAUUAAAAUUGAUGGUAAUUAUUGUCAGGGAACAUUUAGUUUAGUGGUAGAGCGCUCAACUGGUAUCUGACAGGUGCAGGUUCGAUUCCCGUAGCCACCAGCUGACAACUUUUUUCCAUCUUAUGAGGGUAAAUACCCAAUCUUUCUCUGCUGUUCUUACAGCUUUACUGCAUUCAAAAUUUACUUUCCUGUUUAUAAUAUAAUCAUCAUCAUUUAAUGUCUGUUUUCCAUGCUGGCAUGUGUUGGACAGUUUGACUGAGGUCUGGAGAGCCAGCGGCUGCACCAGGCUCUAAUUCGAUCUGGCAAUGUUUCUACAGCUGGAUCCCUCUCAUCAUAAGUGUGGUGUAGACCAGGGUUUUCAAACUGUGGUUCACGGACCUCAGGGGGUCUGUGGACAGCAAAUACUUUUUAUGGGCAAUUUGAUUUUAUAUAU